AUGGCAUGGGUUGGACCCGUACCUGGACCUGGUUCCUGCGUUUGGUACAUAGCUGGAACGAGCGAAUAUUCCGGCCAUAUCCGGAACGCGCCGAUACCUCCGAAUCCAAGGAAUCGGUCGCUCUUUCCUCUCGCUCCGCCGAAAUCAUGUCGCGUCUCCUCUCUGUGGUCCGCCUCCCCUUGUCUCCCCCCUCCCUCCCUCUGCUCUCUCAUGGCCACAACGUUCCCAUCUGGGCAGCGGACCGGGCAGCAACCGACGGGGGCCGGUGGUUGUUGGUGCCGGCCACACCCUAGAUGGCGGCCUGACCUGCAGGGGCGGCUGCAAUUUUUUGGCGACGACCAGAUCUUCCGGGGAGCGGCGGCGGCCCAAUCUGCUGGUGGGCAGCGGCGACUUGAUCUGCUGGUGGGCAACGGCGGCCUGACUUGCCAAUGA
rnacentral:rRNA from 1 species